GAGUUUGAUCGUGGCUCAGGAUGAACGCUGGCGGCGUGCUUAACACAUGCAAGUCGAACGAUUGAAGCUGGAGCUUGCUCCGGCCGAUUUAGUGGCGGACGGGUGAGUAACGCGUGGGUAACCUGCCUCAUACAGGGGGAUAGCAGUUGGAAACGACUGGUAAAACCGCAUAAGCGCACGGUGUCGCAUGACACAGUGUGAAAACCUCCGGUGGUAUGAGAUGGACCCGCGUCUGAUUAGCUAGUUGGUGAGGUAACGGCCCACCAAGGCGACGAUCAGUA
rnacentral:rRNA from 1 species